rnacentral:rRNA from 1 species
AGAGUUUGAUCCUGGCUCAGGAUGAAUGCUGGCGGCGUGCCUAAUACAUGCAAGUCGAGCGGUAAGGCCCUUCGGGGUACACGAGCGGCGGACGGCUGAGUAACGCGUGGGAACAUGCCCCAAAGUGAGGGAUAAGCACCGGAAACGGUGUCUAAUACCGCAUAUGGUCUUCGGAUUAAAGGAUUUAUCCGCUUUGGGAGUGGCCCGCGUACGAUUAGUUUGUUGGUGAGGUAAUGGCUUACCAAGACUACGAUCGUUAACUGGUCUGAGAGGAUGAUCAGUCAGACUGGAACUGAGACACGGUCCAGACUCCUACGGGAGGCAGCAGUAAGGAAUCUUCCACAAUGGGCGAAAGCCUGAUGGAGCAACGCCGCGUGCAGGAUGAAGGCCCUCGGGUCGUAAACUGCUUUUAUGAGUGAAGAAUAUGACGGUAACUCAUGAAUAAGCACCGGCUAACUACGUGCCAGCAGCCGCGGUCAUACGUAGGGUGCAAGCAUUAUCCGGAGUGACUGGGCGUAAAGAGUUGCGUAGGUGGUUAGUAAAGUGAAUAGUGAAAUCUGGUGGCUCAACCAUACAGACUAUUAUUCAAACUCACUAACUCGAGAGUGGUAGAGGUAACUGGAAUUUCUUGUGUAGGAGUGAAAUCCGUAGAUAUAAGAAGGAACACCAAUGGCGUAGGCAGGUUACUGGACCAUUUCUGACACUGAGGCACGAAAGCGUGGGGAGCGAACGGGAUUAGAUACCCUGGUAGUCC